rnacentral:rRNA from 1 species
UACGUAGGGUGCAAGCGUUGUCCGGAAUUAUUGGGCGUAAAGAGCUCGUAGGCGGUCUGUUACGUCGGCUGUGAAAACCUGGGGCUCAACCCCGGGCCUGCAGCCGAUACGGGCAGACUAGAAUUCGGUAGGGGAGACUGGAAUUCCUGGUGUAGCGGUGAAAUGCGCAGAUAUCAGGAGGAACACCGGUGGCGAAGGCGGGCCGCUGGGCCGAG